rnacentral:rRNA from 1 species
AUUGAACGCUGGCGGCAUGCCUUACACAUGCAAGUCGAACGGCAGCACGGGAGCAAUCCUGGUGGCGAGUGGCGAACGGGUGAGUAACAUAUCGGAACGUGCCCAGUAGUGGGGGAUAACUGCUCGAAAGAGCAGCUAAUACCGCAUACGACCUGAGGUUGAACGGGGGGGAUCGCAAGACCUCUCGCUAUUGGAGCGGCCGAUAUCAGAUUAGCUAGUUGGGGGGGUAAAGGCCUACCAAGGCAACGAUCUGUAGUUGGUCUGAGAGGACGACCAGCCACACUGGGACUGAGACACGGCCCAGACUCCUACGGGGGGCAGCAGUGGGGAAUUUUGGACAAUGGGCGCAAGCCUGAUCCAGCAAUGCCGCGUGCAGGAAGAAGGCCUUCGGGUUGUAAACUGCUUUUGUCAGGGAAGAAAUCCUCUAGGUUAAUACCCUUGGGGGGAUGACGGUACCUGAAGAAUAAGCACCGGCUAACUACGUGCCAGCAGCCGCCGUAAUAC